UAUAACUCAAAUUUGAAAUCUGGCGCCUUCGGUGUCCGAGUUGUAAUUUGAAGAAGGUAUCUUUGGUUUUGGCUCUUGUCUAUGUUCCUUGGAACAGGACGUCACAGAGGGUGAGAAUCCCGUGCGAUGAGAUGCCCAAUUCCAUGUAAAGUUCCUUCGACGAGUCGAGUUGUUUGGGAAUGCAGCUCUAAGUGGGUGGUAAAUUCCAUCUAAAGCUAAAUAUUGGCGAGAGACCGAUAGCGAACAAGUACUGUGAAGGAAAGAUGAAAAGAACUUUGAAAAGAGAGUGAAAAAGUACGUGAAAUUGUUGAAAGGGAAGGGCUUGAGGUCAGACUUGGUUUUACCAGGCCAGCAUCAGUUUGGAUGGCAGGAUAAUAGCUUAGGAAUGUGGCACUGCUUCGGUAGUGUGUUAUAGCCUGGGUUGAUACUGCCUGUCUAGACUGAGGACUGCGUCUUUGACUAGGAUGCUGGCAUAAUGACCUUAAGCC
rnacentral:rRNA from 1 species